UCUCACUCAGACCUGUCAUGUGCUGGAGAAGAUUGAUCUGGAGGAUUGUGUGCUUAUCACAGAUGCCACACUAAGCCAUUUGGCAUCUGGAUGUCCUCGGCUUGAAAAACUUAGUCUUUCUCAUUGUGAACUUAUAACAGAUGAAGGUAUACGGCACCUUGGGGUAUCCGCUUGUUCCACUGAACACUUAGCUGUUCUGGAACUUGAUAACUGUCCACUUAUCUCAGACGCCUCUUUGGACCACCUCCUCUCGUGCCACAAUUUACAACGCAUUGAGCUCUAUGACUGCCAGCAAAUCACCCGUGCCGGCAUCAAGAGACUCAAGAGCCACCUACCCAAUAUAAAAGUGCAUGCAUACUUCGCCCCCCAGACACCACAGCCUGCAGAGGGCCGUUCAAGGCAACGGUACUGUCGGUGUUGCGUCAUUCUCUGAGGUCACAAAGUUGUGAGGCCUUUAACCAGUUAGUAUCUCCAGGGUGGGAUGGGGUGGGGGGGAGUGGGAAAAUGAUGAUUACAUCAGGUUCAUCAUUCUUUGAAGGUUGAAUAGCGGCUAACAUCAUCGCAGGAAGAGGAAAAGUGGUUAAGCUCCUCUUAGUUGCGAUUAUUUUCUUCCGGCCUGAGAUGUUUAAUCACCGUUGCCUAUUUAUUGACCUGAUUGCCCCUCAAGGGGAGAAAGCCCUUAUCCAAAGGCUUUAUUCAACUUUUUUGAUUCCAGUUAUCUAAAAAAAAAAUAUAUUACUGAAAACAUUGUAUGCUCUGUGAGACAUACACAGAAAAUGGCUUUUUUCAGAAAAAAAGCUCAUCUAAUCUCUGCAGCUGUGAUCCUGAAAUCACUUAGUCAAAACACACUAUGUAUUUUACUGUAUUUGCUGUAUAGCUGAUUGGUAAACGAGAAGCAUUUGCCACCCAUUAUUUUCUUGAGGUAUGGAAUGCAUGCAUAUGUGAGUGGGUGAAUGUACACGAAGGAGAGAACAGGCAAAAUCAAUGCAAGAUGAGGAAGGGCGUGAAUGAAAACAUUUGUAAGUGCAAGAACUCAGGAGAUUGGUGGAAAAAGUAAGAGUGAAAGCCAAAGAAGUGAAUGGGAAACUGAGGAAUUGGAGUAGGGAAUGAUAGACUGGAAGUGCAAUUAAGAAUGUUAAGUAGUAAUAAAUGAAUGUAAUGAAUAAAUGAAUAGUUAUAAAUGAGUGAUGGACUUGUGUAUGGAUGUGUGUGCAUGGAUGUGUGGGUAAGUGCCUGUGUGCUGUAUAUAUGUAUGUAUGUGUGCGUGAAUAAGCAUAUGAAUAAGAAAACAAAUGAUGGUGUUUGUAUGUUAGUGUAUAGAUAUAUAUCUUUAUAUGUAUUAUUCAGUCAGUAAUCUGUGUGUGUGUGUGUGUCUGUGUCUGUGUCUGUGUCUGUGAGUGUGUGUGUGUUAGAGAGAGAGAGAGAGAGAGAGAGAGAGAGAGAGAGAGAGAGAGAGAGAGAGAGA